GACGAACGCUGGCGGCGUGCUUAACACAUGCAAGUCGAGCGGAGCGGCGAACGGGUGAGUAACGCGUGAGUAACUGCCCCCCUCUCUGGGAUAACAGUUGGAAACGGCUGCUAAUACCGGAUAGUGGGGGAUGACUCGCGUCCUAUCAGCUUGUUGGUGGGGUAGGGGCCUACCACGGCGACGACGGGUAGCCGGCCUGAGAGGGCGACCGGCCACCUUGGGCUGGGUGACGGCCCAAACUCAUACGGGAGGCAGCAGUGUGGAAGUUGGCCCAAUGGGGGAAACCCUGAUGCAGCAACCCGCGUGCGGGAUGACGGCCUUCGGGUUGUAAACCGCUUUCCGCCAUGACGCGGUAGUGGCAGAAGAAGCACCGGCUAACUACGUGCCAGCAGCCGCGGUAAUAC
rnacentral:rRNA from 1 species